GGUGAGAUGGCCGAGCGGUCUAAGGCGCCAGACUAAGGAUCAGCACAUGCGAUGUGCAAUACAUCUGGUCCUCCGGGGCGUGGGUUCGAAUCCCACUCUCAUCA